rnacentral:snRNA from 1 species
AUGAUGAAAAGGGGCCCAUAUAUACUAAAAUUGGAAGGAUAGAGAAGAUUAUUAGCAUGGCCCCCACACAAAGAUGACAUGCAAAUUCAUGAAGCAUUCCAUAUUUUU